rnacentral:rRNA from 1 species
CAGCAGCCGCGGUAAUACGGAAGGUCCAGGCGUUAUCCGGAUUUAUUGGGUUUAAAGGGAGCGUAGGCUGGAUAUUAAGUGUGUUGUGAAAUGUAGACGCUCAACGUCUGACUUGCAGCGCAUACUGGUUUCCUUGAGUACGCACAACGUUGGCGGAAUUCGUCGUGUAGCGGUGAAAUGCUUAGAUAUGACGAAGAACUCCGAUUGCGAAGGCAGCUGACGGGAGCGCAACUGACGCUUAAGCUCGAAGGUGCGGGUAUCAAACAGGAUUAGAUACCCUGGUAGUCCGCACAGUAAACGAUGGAUGCCCGCUGUUGGUACCUGGUAUCAGCGGCUAAGCGAAAGCAUUAAGCAUCCCACCUGGGGAGUACGCCGGCAACGGUGAAACUCAAAGGAAUUGACGGGGGCCCGCACAAGCGGAGGAACAUGUGGUUUAAUUCGAUGAUACGCGAGGAACCUUACCCGGGCUUGAAUUGCAGAGGAAGGAUUUAGAGAUAAUGACGCCCUUCGGGGUCUCUGUGAAGGUGCUGCAUGGUUGUCGUCAGCUCGUGCCGUGAGGUGUCGGCUUAAGUGCCAUAACGAGCGCAACCCCUCUCUUCAGUUGCCAUCAGGUGAUGCUGGGCACUCUGGAGACACUGCCACCGUAAGGUGUGAGGAAGGUGGGGAUGACGUCAAAUCAGCACGGCCCUUACGUCCGGGGCUACACACGUGUUACAAUGGCCGGUACAGAGGGAUGGUGUAAUGCAAAUUGCAUCAAAUCUUGAAAGCCGGUCCCAGUUCGGACUGGGGUCUGCAACCCGACCCCACGAAGCUGGAUUCGCUAGUAAUCGCGCAUCAGCCAUGGCGCGGUGAAUACGUUCCCGGGCCUUGUACACACCGCCCGUCAAGCCAUGAAAGCCGGGGGUGCCUGAAGUCCGUGACCGCAAGGAUCGGCCUAGGGCAAAACUGGUGAUUGGGGCUAAGUCGUAACAAGGUAGCCGU